rnacentral:tRNA from 249 species
GCGCCGUUAGCUCAGUUGGUAGAGCAGCUGACUCUUAAUCAGCGGGUCCGGGGUUCGAAACCCUGACGGCGCACCA